GGCUACCAUGCAGUCGAGGGGCAGCAUUUCAGUUUGCUUGCAAACUGGAGAUGGCGACCGGCGCACGGGUGAGUAACACGUAUCCAACCUGCCGAUAACUCGGGGAUAGCCUUUCGAAAGAAAGAUUAAUACCCGAUGGNAUAAUCAGACCGCAUGGUCUUAUUAUUAAAGAAUUUCGGUUAUCGAUGGGGAUGCGUUCCAUUAGGCAGUUGGUGAGGUAACGGCUCACCAAACCUUCGAUGGAUAGGGGUUCUGAGAGGAAGGUCCCCCACAUUGGAACUGAGACACGGUCCAAACUCCUACGGGAGGCAGCAGUGAGGAAUAUUGGUCAAUGGGCGCAGGCCUGAACCAGCCAAGUAGCGUGAAGGAUGACUGCCCUAUGGGUUGUAAACUUCUUUUAUAUGGGAAUAAAGUUUUCCACGUGUGGAAUUUUGUAUGUACCAUAUGAAUAAGGAUCGGCUAACUCCGUGCCAGCAGCCGCGGUAAUACGGAGGAUCCGAGCGUUAUCCGGAUUUAUUGGGUUUAAAGGGAGCGUAGGUGGACAGUUAAGUCAGUUGUGAAAGUUUGCGGCUCAACCGUAAAAUUGCAGUUGAUACUGGCUGUCUUGAGUACAGUAGAGGUGGGCGGAAUUCGUGGUGUAGCGGUGAAAUGCUUAGAUAUCACGAAGAACUCCGAUUGCGAAGGCAGCUCACUGGACUGCAACUGACACUGAUGCUCGAAAGUGUGGGUAUCAAACAGGAUUAGAUACCCUGGUAGUCCACACAGUAAACGAUGAAUACUCGCUGUUUGCGAUAUACAGUAAGCGGCCAAGCGAAAGCAUUAAGUAUUCCACCUGGGGAGUACGCCGGCAACGGUGAAACUCAAAGGAAUUGACGGGGGCCCGCACAAGCGGAGGAACAUGUGGUUUAAUUCGAUGAUACGCGAGGAACCUUACCCGGGCUUAAAUUGCAUUUGAAUANUNUGGAAACAGNUUAGCCGCAAGGCAAAUGUGAAGGUGCUGCAUGGUUGUCGUCAGCUCGUGCCGUGAGGUGUCGGCUUAAGUGCCAUAACGAGCGCAACCCUUAUCUUUAGUUACUAACAGGUCAUGCUGAGGACUCUAGAGAGACUGCCGUCGUAAGAUGUGAGGAAGGUGGGGAUGACGUCAAAUCAGCACGGCCCUUACGUCCGGGGCUACACACGUGUUACAAUGGGGGGUACAGAAGGCAGCUACCUGGUGACAGGAUGCUAAUCCCAAAAGCCUCUCUCAGUUCGGAUCGAAGUCUGCAACCCGACUUCGUGAAGCUGGAUUCGCUAGUAAUCGCGCAUCAGCCAUGGCGCGGUGAAUACGUUCCCGGGCCUUGUACACACCGCCCGUCAAGCCAUGAAAGCCGGGGGUACCUGAAGUACGAACCGCAAGGAGCUCCUAGG
rnacentral:rRNA from 1 species